CCAUCAUCCAUUCAUGGAUGGAAGAACCAAUUCUUUUUUGCUUCUUUUUCUCUUCCUUGGGAUUUUUCUUUCUGUUGGGGCGAUCCAAGAAUCGGUCCCAAUGAUAAUAGCCGAGUAAAGGUCGGUGAUCGGGAGGACUUUCAUCAGUUGAAGGAUAUGAGGGUCCCACCGCAGAAAGAGCUUGUGACCGAACAGGCCUUUUAUGACGCUGGCCUUAGUUCGGCCACCCAUCUAGGUAUAGUAUAGUCGAUCAUAUCUUAC
rnacentral:lncRNA from 1 species